rnacentral:rRNA from 1 species
UGAGGAAGUAAAAGUCGUAACAAGGUUUCCGUAGGUGAACCUGCGGAAGGAUCAUUAUUGAAGUAAACCUGAUAAGUUGCUGCUGGUUCUUUUGGGAGCAUGUGCACACUUGUCAUCUUUAUAUCUUCACCUGUGCACCUUUUGUAGACCUGAGUAUCUCUCUGGAUGCUUUUUUAGCACUCAGGAUUUGAGGAUUGACUUUUUUUUGUCUCUUCUUCACAUUUUCAGGUCUAUGUUUCUUCAUAUACCCUAUGUAUGUUAAUAGAAUGUCAUUAAUGGGCCUUUGUGCCUAUACAAAUUACAACUUUCAGCAACGGAUCUCUUGGCUCUCGCAUCGAUGAAGAACGCAGCGAAAUGCGAUAAGUAAUGUGAAUUGCAGAAUUCAGUGAAUCAUCGAAUCUUUGAACGCACCUUGCGCUCCUUGGUAUUCCGAGGAGCAUGCCUGUUUGAGUGUCAUUAAUAUAUCAACCUUCUUUGGUUGGAUGUGGGUUUGCUGGCCUCUUGAGGUCAGCUUUCCUCAAAUGCAUUAGCGGACAACAUUUUGCCAACCGUUCAUUGGUGUGAUAAUUAUCUACGCUAUUGACGUGAAGCAAGGUUCAGCUUCUAAAUGUCCAUUGACUUGGACAAAUUAAUUUUAUUAAUGUGACCUCAAAUCAGGUAGGACUACCCGCUGAACUUAAGCAUAUCAAUAA